CAAGACGCUCUUCAGAUUUUGUUUGUUUUUUCCCCCGUCUUCCUCAAAUGUCUGUUGAUCCUUGGUCAUCUGUGUCUAUUUAGGAGGGAGCAGAAGUAC